GGUCCCACCUGACCCCAUGCCGAACUCAGCAGUGAAACGCCGUAGCGCCGAUGGUAGUGUGGGGUCUCCCCAUGUGAGAGUAGGGAACUGCCA
rnacentral:rRNA from 1 species